GGCCUAAUGGCCCAAUGGCAAGGCGCUUGACUACGAUUUGGUUCGAUAAAUCAAGAGAUUCCAGGUUCGACCCCUGGUUAGGUCA
rnacentral:tRNA from 2 species